AACGAACGCUGGCGGCGUGGAUAAGACAUGCAAGUCGAACGCUUGUUAUGGGGUAGCAAUAUUCUAUAGCAGGAGUGGCGGAAGGGUGCGUAACAUGUGGGUAAUCUGCCGUGAAGACAGGGAUAACUUGCUGAAAGGCGAGCUAAUACCGGAUGAGAUAACCAGGAGCAGCUUUUGGUAUCGAAAGUUGGGGACUGUAAAAGGCCUAACGCUUCAUGAUGACGCCCGCAACCUAUCAGCUAGUUGGUGAGGUAAAGGCU
rnacentral:rRNA from 1 species